ACAGUCAGACCAAGAGGGAGAGAACAUCCACUGCAGAGCUAAUGUCAUCCCGGAUGUGGCUGGAAUAUUACUUCAAAGUCUGUUUAUAUAAGUGAUCUUUUGAAAGUUUCAGUGAUAGCUUUCCUAUCUUUGGAGGAAGAUCUGCCACGGUGGCGUACGCCAAAGCAAGCCUUGCUUCUGUCAGGGAACAAGAGGCACGCCUCCAGCACGACCGGCAAUAUUCACGUUCUGAGAAUCAGAGCGCACUCAUGUGAGGGGAGUCAGUUACGCUUCAGAGAUGAGUCACGUAGGGUGGCACAGAUGGUGUGGAACGGCGUCUCAAAGAUGUGAAAAAUAUGGAUGGAACCCACACCACAAAUUAGCAUAGCAAGAUGGGUUGGAGUAGUGAGGCCACUGGACUAAUCACUCAUCCUCUAAGCUGUGGCUAAGUCACCAGAGGCGUCCUGGAGAAGAUCAGAGGAGAGGAUGGUCUGGACUCGGAGGGUCUUGAACAUUGGAGGCUCCCGACCUUCAUGGGAAAGUGUGCAGAAUUUCUUAAGACCCAGCUUGGAAGGGAGAGCUGCCUGAUAAGACUUCUCCAGAGUCAGCUCAGCAAAGCGCCCAGCCGCUUGUGAAGAACCGUUACACAGUCCGAUCACUCAGCUCCAUGUUUUCCUCUGCCAGCGUGUGUGGAUCGAUACGGCCAAUCCCCAUGAUUUAUGGGUCCUCACUUUCUCUAGCUGCUCCAUUCACUCUUUGGAAGGCUCUCCCUCUCUUAGCAGUGAAUCAUGGUUUUCCAUACCAUCCAUCCGCCCCUGAGCACGCAACUCUCCCACUGCUCUCUAAGGAAAUCGCCUGGCACUUACCCCGUCUCCAACCUCUCCAUCACUCUCCACUUUCUUAAGGGCUCUGCUCAUGAACCUGUGUUUGGCUUGCAAAGUUAAACAUUUUUGAAUAAACACCUGUUCUUCAGUCUAAGGGGGUU